rnacentral:rRNA from 1 species
UCUGCGUGGUAGAGGAGCGUUCUGUAAGCCGUUGAAGGGAAGCUGUAAGGCAUCCUGGAGGUAUCAGAAGUGCGAAUGCUGACAUGAGUAACGAUAAGGGGGUGAAAACCUCCCGCCGGAAGACCAAGGGUUCCUAUCCAAUGCUAAUCAGGGUAGGUGAGUCGACCCCUAAGGCGAGGCCGAAAGGCGUAGUCGAUGGGAAACAGGUUAAUAUUCCUGUACUUGUUAUUGAUGCGACGGAGGGACGGAGAAGGCUAGGCUAGCGCGGCGUUGGUUGUCCGCGUGAAAGAGUGUAGGUUGAAGGUUUAGGUAAAUCCGGACUUUCUAAAGACUGAGACUCGAGACGAGGUUCUACGGAACCGAAGUAGUUGGUGCCCUGCUUCCAGGAAAAGCUUCUAAGCUUCAGUCAAUAACGAAUCGUACCCCAAACCGACACAGGUGGUCAGGUAGAGAAUACUAAGGCGCUUGAGAGAACUCGGGUGAAGGAACUAGGCAAAAUUGUACCGUAACUUCGGGAGAAGGUACGCUGUUGUUGGUGAUGAGACUUGCUCUCUAAGCUGACGACAGCCGCAGUGACCAGGUGGCUGGGACUGUUUAUAAAACACAGCACUGUGCAAAAUCGUAAGAUGACGUAUACGGUGUGACACCUGCCCGGUGCCGGAAGGUUAAUUGAUGGGGUUAGCUUAGGCGAAGCUCUUGAUCGAAGCCCCGGUAAACGGCGGCCGUAACAAUAACGGUCCUAAGGUAGCGAAAUUCCUUGUCGGGUAAGUUCCGACCUGCACGAAUGGUGUAACCAUGGCCACGCUGUCUCCACCCGAGACUCAGUGAAAUUGAAAUCGCAGUGAAGAUGCUGUGUACCCGCGGCUAGACGGAAGACCCCGUGAACCUUUACUACAGCUUGGCACUGAACAUUGAGCCUACAUGUGUAGGAUAGGUGGGAGGCUUUGAAGUGGCGUCGCCAGAUGUCAUGGAGCCAUCCUUGAAAUACCACCCUUGUAUGUUUGAUGUUCUAACAUAGGCCCCUUAUCGGGGUUGUGGACAGUGCCUGGUGGGUAGUUUGACUGGGGCGGUCUCCUCCCAAAGAGUAACGGAGGAGCACGAAGGUUGGCUAAGUACGGUCGGACAUCGUACGGUUAGUGUAAUGGUAGAAGCCAGCUUAACUGCGAGACAGACACGUCGAGCAGGUACGAAAGUAGGUCAUAGUGAUCCGGUGGUUCUGAAUGGAAGGGCCAUCGCUCAACGGAUAAAAGGUACUCCGGGGAUAACAGGCUGAUACCGCCCAAGAGUUCAUAUCGACGGCGGUGUUUGGCACCUCGAUGUCGGCUCAUCACAUCCUGGGGCUGAAGUCGGUCCCAAGGGUAUGGCUGUUCGCCAUUUAAAGUGGUACGCGAGCUGGGUUUAGAACGUCGUGAGACAGUUCGGUCCCUAUCUGCCGUGGGCUUUGAGAAUUGAGAGGGGC